rnacentral:rRNA from 1 species
CGUGAGUGAAGAAGGCUUUCGGGUCGUAAAGCUCUGUCGAGUGGGAAGAACUUUUGUAUGGUGAAUAUCCAUAUGGAUUGACGGUACCACAGAAGGAAGCACCGGCUAACUCCGUGCCAGCAGCCGCGGUAAUACGGAGGGUGCAAGCGUUAUUCGGAAUUAUUGGGCGUAAAGAGCGCGUAGGCGGCUUUACAAGUCAGGUGUGAAAUCCCGGGGCUCAACCCCGGAAGUGCAUUUGAUACUGUAUAGCUUGAGUAUGGGAGAGGGAAGUGGAAUUCCUGGUGUAGCGGUGAAAUGCGUAGAUAUCAGGAGGAACACCGGUGGCGAAGGCGGCUUCCUGGACCAAUACUGACGCUGAGGCGCGAAGGCGUGGGGAGCAAACAGGAUUAGAUACCCAGGUAGUCCACGCAGUAAACGGUGGUCACUAGGUGUAGCGGGUAUUGACCCCUGCUGUGCCGGAGUUAA